UCUCAUACCAUAGAUGUCAUGGUUAUCAAUAAAAUAAAUUAUAGACUUUAAUUUUUAUAAAAAAGAUAAAUAUAAAUAGAUAUGUAACAUUAUGUCAUCACUUUUUAUGACCAUUUGAUGUUUUUCUCCCGUUGCAACGCACGGGCAUAUUUGCUAGUAUAGCUUCUAUUGAUAAAAAGUAUAUUGUUUAACCAAACAUAUAUUGAAAUAAACUAGAUGACUAGAUGAUAUAUAUAUACCAAGUUGUCAAUGGACGGUAUGGACUACUCAAAGGAACAUGUGCGGUUCCAUGCAUGGGCAGCUAGCACUGGUGAAGCCUCUACGCAUGGACGGCGCAUAGUAUUCUUGACUUGCAUUGCUGGCUCGGUGACUUUUUAUCGAUCUCUGAUUUCUUCCUUGCUCAUGCAUUCCCAGCGCGCGGAACGAAGCUGGCAGGAAAGCCACUCCACUCCACUACUCUACGCCCCGAUCGGAGGAAAAAAAAAAUUGAUAUACUUUCUCUAUGUAAAAUUUAGAUGUCAGUUUAGAUAAGGUUUGGAUCAAAUAUUGAAAAUAUAAAUCAUCAAUAACUUUUAAAUUAUUGAAUUUUGCAAAUAUGAAAAUUGAUGAAUAGAUUUGUCUUGAAAAAUACUUUUAUAAAAGUAUACAUAUAUUAUUUUUUCUAAAUAUUUUUUAUAAAAAUAAGAGGUCAAAAUUGUGUUUUUGAGACCGUGUGACUGUCGUAAAUAACAUCUAAAUUCUAUAUAGAGAGAGUAUAUGUAAAAAAAAAACACAUUGCAUUGCACUGCUAGGUCGAUCAUUAUUAGGAGAGCACGCUGCACGCGGUAUAGCUAGCUAGGACGGAGUAGUAGCAUGCAUGCACGCGUAAGCUAAUAAGCUAGCGUGUACUGAUCUUUGCAUUGGCGGUGUGGUACGUGCUGCACUUUUAGCGUUGGAUCCUGCACCUCUGCAUAGCAUAUAUGUUAAGCGCUUGCUUGUGUCGGUGAUAUAUAGUGGGUCCCUAGCCGGCCUGUGUUUGCAUGCAUGCAAUCAUUUACCACACUGACACAUACUAUAUAUAUCCACUGUUUGGCACACAAGAUACACACAUAUAUACGCGUACUGGUCAGACCUAGCAGUAGAAGUAUAAACCUGGCCAGGCCGGCCCAUACGUGCAUGCCCGGCCUUAGCUUUUGUUCUCAUACGCCGGUGCGCGAACUUCACAUGGAAGUUUCCUAAAAACUCAUAAAGUAUAUAUUACUGCGAAUAUAAUGUGUAUAGGAUCUUGGUCUUCCAUCGUCAGCAUGCAUAUAUAUAUGUUUGCCAAUUAUUAUACAAAACUCAAGCAGUUUGAAUGCCUUGAAACUAGAGGAUCGGGCGCGUUCGCCGCGGCCGAUCGACCCGCUGCGCUGGUACACGUACGGUCGUCGUCUCCGGCC
rnacentral:lncRNA from 1 species